rnacentral:rRNA from 1 species
CAAGGAAUUUUCGUCAAUGGGGGCAACCCUGAACGAGCAACGCCGCGUGGAGGAUGACGGCCUUCGGGUUGUAAACUCCUUUUUCGGGGGAUGAAACGGACAGUACCCCGGGAAUAAGGCUCGGCUAACUCUGUGCCAGCAGCCGCGGUAAGACAGAGGAGCCAAGCGUUGUCCGGACUGACUGGGCGUAAAGCGCACGCAGGCGGCUUGGCACGUGGGGUGUGAAAGCUCUUGGCUUAACUGAGAGAGGCCAUCCCAUACGGCUAAGCUCGAGCGGUGCAGAGGUCCGCGGAAUUGCCGGUGUAGUGGUGAAAUGCGUAGAGAUCGGCAGGAACACCCAGGGGGAAACCAGCGGACUGGGCAUCAGCUGACGCUCAGGUGCGACAGCGUGGGGAGCGAACCGG